rnacentral:rRNA from 1 species
AACGAACGCUGGCGGCAUGCCUAACACAUGCAAGUCGAACGAUGCUUUCGGGCAUAGUGGCGCACGGGUGCGUAACGCGUGGGAAUCUGCCCUUGGGUUUGGAAUAACAGUGAGAAAUUGCUGCUAAUACCGGAUGAUGUCUUCGGACCAAAGAUUUAUCGCCCAGGGAUGAGCCCGCGUAGGAUUAGCUAGUUGGUGGGGUAAUGGCCUACCAAGGCGACGAUCCUUAGCUGGUCUGAGAGGAUGAUCAGCCACACUGGGACUGAGACACGGCCCAGACUGGUACGGGAGGCAGGAGUGGGGAAUAUUGGACAAGGGGGGCAAGCCUGAUACAGCAAUGCGGGGUGAGUGAUGAAGGCCGUAGGGUUGUAAAGCUCUUUUACCCGGGAUGAUAAUGACAGUACCGGGAGAAUAAGCACCGGCUAACUACGUG